GUGUCGCGGAAUGCUGCUCAUGAAUAUGAGCCUCUAGCAUGGCUUGGAACUAGUCGAGUUCCUCGUCAAACAGUUACGUGAGUAAGCCGAUAACAUAAUAAUUAAUUUAGUAUGUCUCACGAAUGUUAUAUUUUAAUUUUUUUAAUAGUUAUUCCAUUUUUUUUUAUUUACACUCCGAUAUUAGCGCACCCUGGUGUAAUGUCAAAUGUCAGAUGAGCUGUCAAAUGUCAAUUUGUUGAAAUGUCAUGAUAUUAUCGACUGUUAAGUAUUUUACAUAGAUUUAUAUAAACUUCCAAAUAUUACUAUGUGUGUGUACGUACUGUGUAAGCGAAAAUGAACUUUAUAGCAAUGCAAAUAGUGUAUAAAUUUGUUUGGUAUUCAAGAUCAUGUGUAAAAAAUCAUUGUUAGAUAAAAAUCAACUCUAUUCUCUAGCGUUUAAAGUUGAUAUUCUAGUUGUAGAGUUAAUAGUAAUUCCUAAGCUUUCGAUGUUUUGGUAAAGUGACUGAAUACUGACAAUAAAAUGUACUAUAACUUGAUAUUAUGCGGCGAAAACGUUGUUUAACUAAAUAACUGGUUUAUACAACGGUUAUUUUCGAAUAACGUUAUCUUACAACGUCGUUGCGCAUCGUUGCGCAACUGUAUUUUCGUUUGCGCAACUGAUUAUUUUGUUGUUUUAUUCAAUUCGUGAAUUGCGCAAAUAAUUAUUUAGAAUUUCGAUGUCAUAGAAUGCAUAUAAGGUGUUCUAAAAGUAUCUGCCACGGCUUUAAUGGGAGGUAGUGUUGUGUUUGAACAUUACAAUAGUGAAUAUAAAUUAUGAGUUUGUUAUGAAAGAGCUAUCUCUUUCACUGUCUCUGUCGCAUCGUGCGUAUUUGUGAACCACUUUAUACAGAGUAGAGUCAAUGUUUAUUUAACUUGUUUAUGUUCUCAAAUUGAGUUAACUGGUCCGGGGUACGAAAUGUCUUCACUAUUGUAAUGUUCAAACACAACACUACCUCCCAUUGAAGCCGUGGCAGAUACUUUUAGAACAUCUUAUAGAUAUAUGUAGUGAAGAAAUGUGUUAUAUUGUAUAGUCCUAUUAAAUUGUUUUUUAUAUAAAUAAUAUGUUUUUGUAUGAGAUUAUCGUUGUGUACAUAGGAUUAUAUGUUUCAUUUUGAAUGGAUUUUCAUAUAAGAUAUAUAAGGUGACUGGUAAUUAGUGAACGAUAUUUAAACACGUGAUUGUACUCAUGAUUACAAACAACUUUCCCGAAGAAACUGUUUUUGUAUACUCAUUAGUUUUAUUUUUAUCAAAACUAUAAAAUUUCAUUAGCACGCGCGCGUAAAGUUCCAAAAUACCUACCUAGUUACUAGUCUUCCGAUAACGCGGACGCCUCGCUGCUAACAGCUGAUCAUGCGAAAGCACGCGCGCGCAAAAUUUUGUAGUUUUGUUAUUGUGAUAAAAAUAAAACUAAUGAGUAUACAAAAAAAGUUUCUUCGGGAAAGUUGUUUGUAAUCAUGAGUACAAUCACGUGUUUAAAUAUCGUUCACUAAUUACCGGUCACCCUAUGUAUAAGUGCAAUAUAUUUAACUCAAAUUAUAACUUAUAUACAUCCUACAUCCCUAGUCUAUCAUUCAGAGUUUCAAACAAACGAAACUCGCGAUCUUUUCUUUUUAAAUUUAUAUACUUUUUUAGAUAUUAUACAAUAUAAUAAUAGAGUAUGUUAACUAACAGAGGGCUCCUUUAAACUCGUUAAUCUAUAUCAUUAAUAGAUUGAAAUAAAAAUAUCGGCAUAUAAAACAUAAGCAAUAAAUUGCAACGUUGCCUUCCUUCAACUACGCGUGCACAGUUUCUUUUACGUAUCGAUUUAAAAUUUUUGGUGAAUAUUUUAAUUCAUUAGCUACUUCCGCACGGUUUCACCCGCUCUACUCGGUUUCUAUUAAUCGUAGCGUGAUGUUUUAUAGCCUAUAACCUUCCUCGAUGAAUGCACUAUUCAACACAAAAAGAAUUAUUCAAAUCGGACCAGUAGUUCCGGAGAUUAGCGCGUUCAAACAAACAAACUCUUCAGCUUUAUAAUAUUAGUAUAGAUAUGUAAAUAUGUAAUUAUAAUAUUAUAUGUAAUAUAUAUAGUAUAGAUUUUAAAAAAUAAAUUGUUUUGCUUUUGAGUGGUAAUAUUUUUGUUAGCAUGUAUGGAUGCUAUACUAUUGCAAGUUAACAGGAAUGCCCUCUGUUAGUUAACAUACUGUAUAAUAGUAUAAAUUGUUUUUAGAUGUUAAGAAAAGUAUUAUACAUAUAAUAUAAAUAUUAUUAGUUAUAGUUGCAAUUUCAUUGUGAAACUACUGAUGACUGUCUUUAAUGAUUUUCCAUACAUUAUAUUAGUCUUUAUAUAUCAUGUAAUCAUAUGACAUAUUAACAGUCUACAAGUGUCCACUGAUGACCAAAGGCCUCUUCUCAAACGGAGAAGGUUUGAGCAUUAAGGUAGGUGUCCACAGGCCCGCAUUGUACGCAUCGCACGCAUCAGACGGAUCGCAUCAAACGGAUUGACUGCGUCCACUGUAUCGGCAGCGUUCGGAUUACCGAUGUCACUUUCACUCGGAUUUUUGGCAUCGGCAUUCCGUAUGACGUCAUCAGUACGCAUCGCAUGUAGGCAUUGCCGAUGAUACGGUCCGUACGAUGCGGAUCAGUGGACGCAGUUGUAUGAGUUUCUAUACAAGACAAACUAAAAUCCGUUGCGUGCGAUGCGUACGAUGCGGGCCUGUGGACUUACAUUCAAUGGUCACGCUCGCUCAAUGUGGGUCGGUGAUUUAAAAUUUUCAAUCAAAAACUAGCAAACCCGGCGAACUCCGUUUCGCUACCAAUAACUUUACCUGUAUUCCUACUUUUCUCUUAAUUUUUUUCCUGAAUUUUCUUUGCUAUAAACCUCACGGAGCCUGAGACCUUUCCAACGAAUGCAAAACCGUGGAAAUCGGUUCGUGCGUUCUGGAGUUAUAGCGUCAGGAAGGAAAACCCGACUUAUUUUUAUAUUAUAGAUUAUAAGCCCAGGUUUCUAUGAUAUGAUGUGUAUUUCUUUGUGAAUAAUAAAGUGUGAGGUUAUGUCUAUGUCAGUCAGUUAUCAGUAGUUUCUCAGUAAAGUUGCGUAAUGUUGUUACACCGCGACUGUUCAAUGUUUCUGUAUAAUUGUACACGUUUAUGUCGAAUCCGUAUAAUAAAUGUUUAUAUUAUA